rnacentral:rRNA from 1 species
GAUGAACGCUGACAGAAUGCUUAACACAUGCAAGUCAACUGUGGCGGACGGGUGAGUAACGCGUAAAGAACUUGCCUCACAGAUAGGGACAACAUUUGGAAACGAAUGCUAAUACCUGAUCCUGUGAGAGAGCUUUGCGUCCCAUUAGCUAGUUGGAGAGGUAACGGCGCACCAAGGCGAGGAUGGGUAGCCAGCCUGAGAGGGUGAUCGGGCACAAGGGGACGGGGGCACGGCCCUUACUGCUACGGGAGGCAGCAGUGGGGAAUAGUGGACGAUGGACCAGAGUCUGAACCAGGAAUUCUGUGUGCACAAUGAAGUUUUCGGAAUGUAAAGUGCUUGCAGUUGGGAAGCAGUACCAACAGAAGAAGUGACGGCUAAAUACGUGCCAGCAGCCGCGGUAAUUC